CCUACGGGUGGCAGCAGUGGGGAAUAUUGCACAAUGGGGGAAACCCUGAUGCAGCGCCGCCGCGUGAGCGAGGAAGUAUUUCGGUAUGUAAAGCUCUAUCAGCAGGGACGAAAAAAGACGGUACCUGACUAAGAAGCCCCGGCUAACUACGUGCCAGCAGCCGCGGUAAUACGUAGGGGGCAAGCGUUAUCCGGAUUUACUGGGUGUAAAGGGAGCGUAGACGGCAAGGCAAGCCAGAAGUGAAAGGGCAGGGCUCAACCCUGUACAUGCUUUUGGAACUGGAUGGCUGGAGUGCAGGAGAGGUAAGUGGAAUUCCUAGUGUAGCGGUGAAAUGCGUAGAUAUUAGGAGGAACACCAGUGGCGAAGGCGGCUUACUGGACUGUAACUGACGUUGAGGCUCGAAAGCGUGGGGAGCAAACAGGAUUAGAUACCCUGGUAGUC
rnacentral:rRNA from 1 species